rnacentral:rRNA from 1 species
GAUGAACGCUAGCUACAGGCUUAACACAUGCAAGUCGAGGGGAAACGGCAUUGAGUGCUUGCACUCUUUGGACGUCGACCGGCGCACGGGUGAGUAACGCGUAUCCAACCUUCCCAUUACUGUGGGAUAACCUGCCGAAAGGCAGACUAAUACCGCAUAGUCUUCGAUGACGGCAUCAGAUUUGAAGUAAAGAUUUAUCGGUAAUGGAUGGGGAUGCGUCUGAUUAGCUUGUUGGCGGGGUAACGGCCCACCAAGGCUACGAUCAGUAGGGGUUCUGAGAGUAGGGCCCCCCACAGUGGAACGGGGACACGUGCAAAACUCAUACGGGAGACAGCGGUAAGGAAUGUUGGUCAAGGGACGAAAGCCUGAACCGCCAAAGUAGGGUGCAGAAUGCCGGCCUUAGGGUUGUAAACUGCUUUUGUAUGGGGAUAAAGUUAGGGACGUGUCCCUAUUUGCAGGUACCAUACGAAUAAGGACCGGCUAAUUCCGUG